rnacentral:lncRNA from 1 species
CAUCAUCAUCACUGCCACCACCAUCAUCACUACCACCACCAUCAUCAUCACCAUCACCAUCAUCACUCCCAUCACCACCAUCACCACCACCACCAUCAUCACUGCCAUCACCAUCAUCAUCAUCAUUGUCAUCAUCACCAUCAUCACUGCCACAGUCACUACCACCACCACCAUCAUCACCACCACCAUCAUCACCACCACCAUCAUCACCAUCACCAUCACCAUCAUCACUGCCAUCACCAUCAUCACUGCCACAGUCACCACCACCAUCAUCACCAUCACCAUCAUCAUCACUGCCAUCACUGUUAGCAUCCUCAAUACCAGCACUACCACUAUCACCAUUGUCAUCAAAACCUGUUCUGUCUGCUGCGGAAACAGCACGGGCAUCCAUCACCUCUGUGGAGAUGCAACCAGCACCAGGUCGGGUGUCGUCAGCAUCCGGGACGACCACAGGACCUGCUGGAUUUCCUCCCGCACUGUCUCCAGCAGGUCAGCUGGCAUUUGGCGUACAGGGGUGGAGGGAGGGAUCCGCGUGCCCAGCACCGAGCCGUCGCCUUCCCCCAGCUGAACCACGCUGGGCGCGGGCCACUCCCCCGGAGGACCCUCUGCUUUGGGAAGCACGAGUCAGGAAUUUGCUCUGCGUGGUUGACUGUGACCUUCAGGCUGUGUCUGUUUUCAAGCCUGUGUCGUCCCAAAGCUGGGUUUCGGGGUGUCCUGAUGACCAGGGGGGUUUCUCUUUGUCCCUGGGACAGGUGAUGGCUUGCCUGCAGUCUCAGCCACGUCCGAGCCUACGGCUUUGCCGUCCACACCCAGGCCCCUGGCAGGUAGGUCUUUGGGGAAUGGGGGGAGAAGAGGCUGAACCUGAAAGGAAGACAGUGUGAUGAGCAGAGAACCAGAGGCUUUCCCCAGUCUAUGCUCCCACGAACCGCGAGUCCACCCUCCCCGGUCUCACUGCUUUAUAAAGACAGACACAGCCAGGAGCAUUUUCCCAGCAUCCCCCAACUAAAGCAUGCUGAAGCCAAGAUUUGGGCGCAAAUACAAGGGUACUUCAAAAAGUUGGUGGAAAAUUAAAUGAAGAGGUAGGUUUAUUUUGGUGCACAAUUUUUUUGAAAUCCAUGCAUUGUUGUCUCAUAACACACAUAUUCCAUGAAACUGAAAGCCCUUUGUAUGUCUGACUUCAAAUCCAUGUGACUGCCUGGCCAGCUGCUGCCCAGGAGGUGGGACAAUACCAUCCCAGGCUACCUUCGGGCUAUGGGGAGGAGAGCGUUCUUGCAAGUUAAAUUACUAAGGUGUAGGUACGUCAAGGCCCCGGCCAGGAAACCUGGGAGUCGGCCCCGAGCAGUCCUCCUCUAUGGUUUGGAGUAUGAGAUUCCCAAUGGACAAAGCUUUCAGGUUUAUACUUAGAAAGAGAUGCGUCUGUUUGUCCCUGUGGCAGGUGAUGGAUUGCCUGUAAGCACACCCACAACGGAGCCCGUGGCCCUGCAAUCCAUGCCCACCGCCAUGGCAGGUAAGUUCUUGGGGAAACGGGGGCGGGAGCCAGCAUGGAGCUACUGUAACAGGAUAAGCAGGCGUCUGACAUUUUCACGUUAUUAGCACUUCCAUUCAUUCUCACGCAAGCCCCCAAUGAAGUUACGCUCGCUGUGUCCUUGGUUCUUACAUAGUGAGCCAUAGAAACAUUAACUUGCCUAGAAUGAGUUGACUAGAAUGUGGUAAAAUCAGGGUUGACCUGCAUCUCUCUGACACCAAACCUACUUAGCUCACUUCAUUUCGGGGACACAAUAUUAGAAGAAGGGAAGUUGCUAGCGACCCUCAUUGCUAAGACCCAGGUCAAUCAAAUCCUCAGUUUGGAAGUUCCCAAGCCCGACGUCUUUCAGAGUCUUU